rnacentral:lncRNA from 1 species
GCCACGAGCAGUUGGUAUCGUUAGAAACUCACCAUAGAGAUUGACAUAGAAGCUUAUGAAAGUGUUUCUCAUCAAUUAAAUGUAUCAUGUGCGGAAUAUUAAAUGACUCAUACAAGGAACCGAUUUUAAAGUGACAAACUUAAUAAUCACAACUUAUUCCAACACCAGAAUCAUCCAUUCUGCCACUCCAAAUUGAUCAUAAAGCCCUAUAACUUUCAGGAUGUCAUACCCAAAUACCAUAAAAAAUGAGUUUUCUAGAUGUCAGAUACAGUAAACUAGUAAACUCAGAAUGUAUUCAACAAAGAAUGUCUGCUUCCAAAGCCUACUAGCAUUUAAUACAAACCAUCCAGUUAAUGUCUGUAGGUUAUUUACGAAGACAGCGAAAGCCUACUAGCAUUUAAUACAAACCAUCCAGUUAAUGUCUGUAGGUUAUUUACGAAGACAGCGAAAGCCUACUAGCAUUUAAUACAAACCAUCCAGUUAAUGUCUGUAGGUUAUUUAUGAAGACAGCGAAAGCCUACUAGCAUUUAAUACAAACCAUCCAGUUAAUGUCUGUAGGUUAUUUACGAAGACAGCGAAAGCCUACUAGCAUUUAAUACAAACCAUCCAGUUAAUGUCUGUAGGUUAUUUACGAAGACAGCUAAGAUAUAUGACUAGCCAUAACCAGCAAUAUGAGGUAAACUUUUUAACAAUUAUUAAAAUAAAACAGAAGCAGUAAUAUUGUGCAUAAAUCAAACACAUUUCUGUCGCAAAUACACAUAGUCAUCCUUCUCUUAACAUAAACUAUAAUCUCGCUUUCAUUACUGGUUGCAACGCUUUACACCUAUGCCAAAUGCAAGAACAGGUAAACCAGAAAAGAAUGAACAUGAUCACAAGGAAUGCAAAUUCAAAAACAACAGAACUUAAGUACAUCCAAUAGAACUUAGAAUCGAGAAACAAACCAUUCAUGAGGAUAAGGAGUACAGGCAUUUAGAAAAUUUCACCUUAUAAAGACAUCCACUCAACAAUAGUCAAUUCUGCUACAUCAACAUAGCAAGGAUUGCGUAAAUGCUUGAUGGUAAAAAGCUAAUGGAUAUUCCCUCUUCUAUUUACGUUUUACUUAUGCUAUGAUUAACUUAAUAAUCUUAUAUCUCUAACAAAUUAUUAUUCUUUGUCACUUAAAACACAUUACCUAAAGUUUCUUGAAAACCUACCUCCAAGUGUCAAAAAGUACGCCACAACCAUGAAUUAAAAUCCAAAUAUGCAAAAUUGUAAGUGUCAAAAGUGAGCUAGCUAUCCAAUAAAGAUGUCCAUUUUAGGCAGCAAGUCACACGUAUAGACUAUAUGGUUCAACACAAGUCUUAUCUUCGCCAAGCUCCUAACUAUUUUCAUGGAAAAUACAAACAUAAUAAUAACUAAAUGCACGUUGAGAGUAACACCAGUAAGGAGUUAGCUUCCUUGCA